UAUUAAAAAUUUCAUCUAUUUGUAUUGUUAAAAACUAGGAUGGCAAACCAAACAAUAACACGUGGUCUACCACGUGUACCUCAUGCUAAUAUAUAUAGAUCAAUUUUUAACAGUAAAAAUGGAUGAUUAUUUUAACA
rfam:Gossypium hirsutum cultivar TM-1 unplaced genomic scaffold scaffold2480.1, whole genome shotgun sequence